rnacentral:rRNA from 1 species
GACGAACGCUGGCGGCGUGCUUAACACAUGCAAGUCGAACGGAAAGGCCCUGCUUUUGUGGGGUGCUCGAGUGGCGAACGGGUGAGUAACACGUGAGUAACCUGCCCUUGACUUUGGGAUAACUUCAGGAAACUGGGGCUAAUACCGGAUAGGAGCUCCUGCUGCAUGGUGGGGGUUGGAAAGUUUCGGCGGUUGGGGAUGGACUCGCGGCUUAUCAGCUUGUUGGUGGGGUAGUGGCUUACCAAGGCUUUGACGGGUAGCCGGCCUGAGAGGGUGACCGGCCACAUUGGGACUGAGAUACGGCCCAGAAUCCUACGGGAGGCAGCAGUGGCGAAUAUUGCACAAUGGGCGGAAGCCUGAUGCAGAAACGCCGCGUGCGGGAUGACGGCCUUCGGGUUGUAAACCGCUUUCGCCUGUGACGAAGCGUGAGUGACGGUAAUGGGUAAAGAAGCACCGGCUAACUACGUG